rnacentral:rRNA from 1 species
UACAGAGGGGGCAAGCGUUAUUCGGAAUUAUUGGGCGUAAAGGGCGCGUAGGCGGACCUGCAAGUCGGGGGUGAAAGCCCGAGGCUCAACCUCGGAACUGCCUUCGAUACUGCGGGUCUCGAGUCCGGGAGAGGUGAGUGGAAUUCCUAGUGUAGAGGUGAAAUUCGUAGAUAUUAGGAAGAACACCAGUGGCGAAGGCGGCUCACUGGCCCGGUACUGACGCUGAGGCGCGAAAGCGUGGGGAGCAAACAGG